rnacentral:lncRNA from 1 species
AUUUAUUGUUUUUGUCAUGUUGACUGCCCAAUGAAUAUCUUUGAUGUAUUUCUUAUAACAACUUGUUACUAGAUAUUCCAUUAAGAACAUUUUAUCUCUCAAUUCCCUGACUUCCUUUGUGCUUUGUAGACUGGAAGUGAUGUUAGAGAGAAGGGAUAUUUUGCUGCUUGGAAUUCCACUGCCACCCCCAAAGAAGUGCUGUUUUCGUCACUUGUAUGAGCUCCUUUCUCUGGGAAAAUUCACAGCAUUGCUUUCUAGAGACUGACAUGUUCCAAAAACUAGGUUUCAUAUGAAUGAACUUAUUCCUUCCCCUUGAGAUGAGACAUAAAGAAAAAUGUUAGGAAUAAUUCUGCCUCCAUCCUCAAAGGCCUGUGUGAAUUCUCACAAAGGUGAUGACCACAGAGACAAGGUGGAUUUGUUACUGUAGGUGCCAUUACUUCUGCCACCAGCUUCUCCAGUACAGUGACAGUCUUCUUUGUGCAUGGAAACUCUGCUCUUUCCUGUGUUGCAGUGGAUACCUCC